AUGGGGUUAAACCCGGCAGAUGACACUGAUGCAGCAGGAGGGCCUGGAGGCCCCAGGGACCCUAGAAUGGGAGGCAGUGGUGGUUUCCGUGGAGGCUUUGGCAGUGGCAUUUGGGGCUGGGGGCGCGGCCAUGGUCGGGGUCAAGACCAAGGCCACGGAGCUCUCAGAUGCAAGGCCGAAGACAAAGAGUGGAUGCCUGUCACCAAGCUGGGCCGCCUGAUCAAGAACAUGAAGAUCAAAUCUCUGGAGGAGAUGUAUCUUUUUUCCCUGCCCAUCAAGGAAUCUGAGAUUAUUGACUUUUUCCUGGAGGCAUCACUCAAGGAUGAGGUUUUGAAGAUUAUGCCAGUGCAAAAGCAGACCUGCACUGGCCAGCGGACCAGGUUCAAGGCGUUUGUUGGCAUUGGGGACUACAGUGGCCAUGUCGGUCUGUGUGUUAAGUAUUCCAAGGAAGUAGCCACUGCCAUCAGAGUGGCCAUCAUCCUGGCCAAGCUCUCUAUUGUCCCAGUGUGGAGAGGCUACUGGGGGAACAAGGUUGGCAAGCCUCACUCUGUUCCUUGUAAGGUGACAGGCUGCUGUGGCUCUGUGCUGGUACGUCUCAUUCCUGCUCCUAGAGGAACUGGCAUUGUCUCAGCUCCUGUGCCUAAGAAGCUGCUAAUGAUGGCUGGGAUCGAUGACUGCUACACCUCAGCCAGGGGCUGCACUGCCACCCUGGGCAACUUUGCCAAGGCCACUUUUAAUGCCAUUUCCAAGACCUGUAGCUAUCUCACGCCUGACCUCUGGAAAGAGACAGUGUUCACCAACUCUCCUUACCAAGAAUUCACUAUCUUGUCAGGACUGCAACAGUCUCUGUGCAGAGGACCCAGGCUCCGGUUGUGGCUACAACAUAG